AGCUCUUCCGGGGACCUUGCUGCCAGCCCUGCAUGCCCUGGGGCCCAGAUUCUCUGGACACCCCCACAGUUCACAUGUGCUCUGGGCUGUGGCUUCUGCGGGGCACCCACCUCUGGGGCGGGCCACCACAGAGAAAUAAUAAACAGCAGCACUGCUUCCAGAGCCCUCUGCACCCGCAGGGCACGGUCUCACUUAACCCUCGAAACUACUGGUCCCACCGACAAGUAUUUAACGAGAGCCCGUUUGCGCUGGGGGUCGAGAAGGACACGGUGAUGCAUUUUGUGCUUCAGGAGCUGACAAUUCAGCUGCAUGACUGUGAAAGUCAUCGAACUUCUCUGACCUUGUCUGACCGUGAGCAUCAGCCAUCCUCAGGGUGAGUUCCUACAGGGCAGCUGCUCUGAGUCCCUGAGUUGAAGGCGUAUGAGGAGACCACACAGUAGAACUACCAGCUGCUAGUAGAAAAACCACGACGCACAUGAGCAUUCUUCCAGAAUCACUUAACCCCAGAACUUCCAGGCCUCGUCUAGUCAAUGCAUCAGCACUGUCUGAGUCUCUGCCGCAUCCAUGUGAUUUUUUCUCAGCAACAGGAGGACUUUGGAGAUCAUCAAAAUAGUAAUGGCGGUUAUCUCAGGACAAUGGGCUUACGGUGAACAGUAUUUCUGUUUUGCGCGGCUUUCUGUAUUUUCCAAAAUAUCUAAAACACAACUGUAAUGAUUUGCCUUGAGGCAAGGAAGGAUGAAAUAUAUUACAGCCAUACGCCUUUUAAAGAAAAGGAUCUGUUUUGGUUUUCUGUUCUAAAACCAUG